rnacentral:rRNA from 1 species
UACAGAGGGGGCAAGCGUUGUUCGGAAUUACUGGGCGUAAAGGGCGCGUAGGCGGCCUGCUAAGUCGAACGUGAAAUCCCCGGGCUCAACCCGGGAACUGCGUCCGAUACUGGCAGGCUUGAAUCCGGGAGAGGGAUGCGGAAUUCCAGGUGUAGCGGUGAAAUGCGCAGAUAUCAGGAGGAACACCGAUGGCGAAGGCAGUUCUCUGGGCCGUAACUGACGCUGAGGAGCGAAAGCGUGGGGAGCGAACAGG